GACAGAGGGUGCUAGCGUUGUUCGGAAUUACUGGGCGUAAAGGGCGUGUAGGCGGCUAUGUAAGUCGGACGUAAAAUACCUGGGCUUAACCUAGGGCGUGCGUUUGAUACUGCAUAGCUAGAGGAUGGGAGAGGAGAGUGGAAUUCCUAGUGUAGAGGUGAAAUUCGUAGAUAUUAGGAAGAACACCAGUGGCGAAGUCGACUCUCUGGACCAUAUCUGACGCUAAGGCGCGAAAGCGUGGGGAGCAAACAGG
rnacentral:rRNA from 1 species